UAAAUAAUUGGAAACUUUAUGAAGUAUUACUGUUCUAUAAGCAAUUUCUAGCUUUGUUUGUUAUGUCCUUUAGACAUGUCUUUAUGUAGUUUGUGGUUCCUCUUUAUUUGACCGCUAGUCCAACUUGUGUUUGUUCUGGUGUGUUUGUGCCGGUAGAAUGUUGGUGGUAUGUUUGUGUAAGCUAAAAAAAAAUUGGCCAUGUCCUCAUCUAGGGGCCAUGACCCAAAUCGAUGUUAAUUCCCCGAAGUUUUUCCCCAGUUUCCAAAAGUGGACGAGUCUGAAUUUCUAUCGUUACUUUAGGAUCAAGCUUAUCUAAAUAGGUGUUUAGGUAAACUUCUCGUAGAAAAUAAAUGGACUGGAGCUUAAGAUAAGGAUCUCGGGUCUGUGAUCUUGACAAUUCACUUGUAGC
rnacentral:lncRNA from 7 species